GGAGCUCUGGGGGAUUCCAGAAGCCUGCUCACCGUGCCCUGGCAACUUUGUCACUCUGUCUCCCAGGGGGCCGGGAACUCCUUGCCGCGGAGGGCUGAGGGGCAGGGAGCCCCAAGGUCGAGGAGGGCAGCCAGCAGCCCUCGGUGGGAGGGGACCUGGGGAGGCCUGGGCAGGAAGCCAGCCGUGGGGGACCCGGGGUUUUACCUGGGAACCUGGGCCAGGAUCGAAUGGAUACCUGUUUUCCAGGCCCAAGCGGUCAGGGUGGCCAUGUCGAUGCCUCCGUUAUGUUUGAACUUACGUUUGUGCGCUAUCCGGAACUUUCUGGCGUGAACGUUCGCAGAGCCUGUGUCUCCAGCCUUGCCCUCCCGAUCCUGUCGCAGAAUGUCAGGGCCACCGGAGGGGAAAUUACAGCCUGCUCAGGCUGCCACUGAGGCCUUGUCCCCAACUGUUCUCUAUAUACGCGGUGUUGGUGACAGCCCCCAGGGAGGGCUCCUGUUCCAGCUGGGAAUCACGGGCCCCCGGGUCUUGCUGUGGCAUUGAGGUGUGCGCCAGCCCUGCCUGCAGCAGUUUCGCGAUGAGUCAGAAUAAAUUAGCAUGCUAACGAA